UGGAGGGAUGUGGUGACUGUUGACAACACAACUUCUCUGACCCAAGACUCUACACUCUUCAGAGUAGGGGUGAAGGCACGUCAGCGACCAGACAAGGAGUCAUGAAGAGACAGCGGGGAGCCCUGCUGGGGCUUCUGUGGGUGCAGGUUUGCUGGGUGAGAGGGAUGGACGUGGAGCAGACACCUGCAGCCCUGAGCCUCCAGGAGGGAGCCAGCUCUACCCUGAGGUGCAAUUUUUCCAGCUCGGUGAACAACGUGCAGUGGUUCCGACAGAACCCCGGGGGCGGCGGCCUCACCCGGCUGUUUUACAUAGUUUCAGGGAUGAAGCAGGAUGGGAGGUUGAACUGCACGGUGAACACUAAGGACCGGCACAGCAGCCUGCACAUCAGGGCCUCCCAGCAGGAAGACUCAGCCACCUAUCUGUGUGCGGUGCAGGCACAGUGCUCCCUGCUGCUCUGCAGCCUGUCCCCAAACUGCAGCUGGGCUCCCAGCCCAGGCUCCUCCACCAGGAAGCCUUCCUUGUGCAGCCGCAUUUGCACAGGGUGCUUGGGACCAUCUGGGGCUUUGCAGGCUCAAAGCUGGUGGUGGUAAACCUUGCCAAUAAAUUAUUUAAAAAUGAAAGUGUGUAUGUGCACAUUGCAUAAAGCAUAUUGGAGGGAUGUUAGUUCUUAAAAUGUUUAGAAUCUCUGAUUUUGGAAAUUGUUGCCACAUGGGAAAGCAAAGAUCCGUAGGUUUUGAAAUAGAAAUUUAAGAUAAAGAUAAGAGUUUCAAUGGAGAAGAAUAACAUUUUCAUGUGAAGUUUUAACUGAUUCAAUAUCUGAUUAUUAACACAGAAGAUAAUCUGAAAUUAAAAUUUCUCAUAACUUAAGACAUGGUAAGAUAUAUAGACCAGCAUUCUGAAAGCUAAUGUGUUAGACAUAAAAAUAUAACAUAAGACUAUUGGGAUUGAGAUGACCCAGACAGGGUUAGAACAUUUUGUUGAAUGAUUGCUGUUUAUUGGAUUUUUGAAAGGAGUUAGUAAUAUUUUAUUUUGAAAUUCAGGUUUUAAAGCUGACUUUACAUUUGCUGUUCAGACUCCUGUCAUACAAACAACUCCUUGGUAAAUUAUCACAUUCCUAUCAUAGAUUAGUUUUCAACUCUUGUCUUUCCAAUACUGCAGAUGUUAUUUUUGACUUGGUAUAAAACAGUGCAUGUUAAAUAUAGAAAAUAUGUAAUAACCAAAGUUUGAAAUUGAUAAUUGUGUACCCAGCCAAUUUAUUAUUGUUUGUUUUGCUCUCUUCUUAAAUUCUAAUAUAACUUGGAUUCUGAUUCUUUUCACUCAAUGUUAUAUCCUGAA